rnacentral:tRNA from 1 species
GGAGGGGUCGCAUAGUGGCCUAGUGCGCCAUCUUGGAAAGAUGGUAAGGGGGCAACUCCUUCGAGGGUUCAAAUCCCUCUCCCUCCGCCA